CGCCUAACAUCACCCAAUAGCAAAUGCAGAGCAACAGGGCUCAUCUAUAGCGGGGAUUGGCCUGCUCCUCAUACAGCUUCAUCUGGAGGCAGCCGUAAAACAUUAACCAGGACUGGGCGGAGGAGGAAAGCAGUCCAGGAAGGGAAAGCGGGGCUGUAAAAGGGGCCUAAAUCUGCACAACAAAAGAGAGGAGACCCGAGGAGACUCAGCGUGAGAACAAGGAUGGGACAAGACACAGCCCAGAUCUUAGACCCUUCAGCUCCCAUUUUGGAAAACAUAAAGAACCGAAUACUGGGGGAUGACUGGGCUCUGGGAGGUCUUGUGGUAAUCGGAUCCUUCUGCCUUCUGUUCCUCAUAUUCCUAUUGUUUGCCUUCGUGUUCAGCUGUUGUCACUGCCAGAAACGCAAAUCAGCAUAUCGAUAAGAUUAAAGACCAGGAUUUACCGGUACACACCUUUGUAAAACAUGAAAUAAUAUAACGGGGAGGAACAUAAGGAACUACGGGGAAUAAAAGGUGGGCAAUGUCCGAUAUGAACUACAAAAAGAUUAGAAAGAAGACAGGCAAGGCAUGGAGAACAUCAGGUCUCAUGGAAGAUUGUACACAAUGAAGAAACACCCACAGGACUGGUCGGUGGCUAUGGUUGAUGACAAAAGAACCUGAAAUCACACCAAGGUUGAGCCCCCGCAGUUGAGAUUUUGUGUUAGAUUUGUAUGAAAUGUAAUAAAAUGGUCGAAAGAAGA